GACGAACGCUGGCGGCGUGCUUAACACAUGCAAGUCGAACGGUGAAGCCCAGCUUGCUGGGUGGAUCAGUGGCGAACGGGUGAGUAACACGUGAGCAACCUGCCCCUGACUCUGGGAUAACUCCGGGAAACCGGGGCUAAUACUGGAUAUGAGGUGCUCCUGCAUGGGGGUGUCUGGAAAGAUUUAUCGGUCAGGGAUGGGCUCGCGGCCUAUCAGCUUGUUGGUGGGGUAGUGGCCUACCAAGGCGACGACGGGUAGCCGGCCUGAGAGGGCGACCGGCCACACUGGGACUGAGACACGGCCCAGACUCCUACGGGAGGCAGCAGUGGGGAAUAUUGCACAAUGGGCGAAAGCCUGAUGCAGCGACGCCGCGUGAGGGAUGAAGGCCUUCGGGUUGUAAACCUCUUUCAGCAGGGAAGAAGCGCAAGUGACGGUACCUGCAGAAGAAGCGCCGGCUAACUACGUGCCAGCAGCCGCCGUAAAAC
rnacentral:rRNA from 1 species